AACGUAGGACACAAGCGUUAUCCGGAGUUACUGGGCGUAAAGGGCGUGUAGGCGGAUCGGUAAGUCUACUCUGAAAGCUCCUGGCUAAACUGGGAGAGGCGAGUGGAGACUGUCGGUCUAGAGUGAGGAAGAGGAAAGUGGAAUUCCGCGUGUAGUGGUGAAAUGCGUAGAUAUCAGGAGGAACACCGGUGGUGUAGACGGCUUUCUGGACCGUAACUGACGCUGAGACGCGAAAGCGUGGGGAGCAAACAGG
rnacentral:rRNA from 1 species